rnacentral:rRNA from 1 species
CAGUCGCCGCGGGAAUACGAAGGGGGCUAGCGUUGUUCGGAUUUACUGGGCGUAAAGCGCACGUAGGCGGACUUUUAAGUCAGGGGUGAAAUCCCGGGGCUCAACCCCGGAACUGCCUUUGAUACUGGAAGUCUUGAGUAUGGUAGAGGUGAGUGGAAUUCCGAGUGUAGAGGUGAAAUUCGUAGAUAUUCGCAAGAACACCAGUGGCGAAGGCGGCUCACUGGCCCGAUACUGACGCUGAGGCACGAAAGCGUGGGGAGCAAACAGGAUUAGAUACCCCAGUAGUCCCUGUCUCUUAUAC